UUUCCGUAGGUGAACCUGCGGAAGGAUCAUUAAUGAAAUGUAGAAAGGAGCUGUCGCUGGCCCUCGGGCAUGUGCACGCUCCCUUCGUUCCAAUUUCAACCCCUGUGCAUCUUUUGUAGGGAGGUGCUCACGCGCCGACCUAUGUCAUUACAAACCCUGAUAGUAUAUAGAAUGUCUUAUGCAUAACGCAUUUUAAUACAACUUUCAGCAACGGAUCUCUUGGCUCUCGCAUCGAUGAAGAACGCAGC
rnacentral:misc_RNA from 1 species